GACGAACGCUGGCGGCGUGCUUAACACAUGCAAGUCGAACGGAAAGGCCCCUUUGGGGGUACUCGAGUGGCGCACGGGUGCGUAACACGUGAGUAACCUGCCCUUGACUUCGGGAUAACUUCAGGAAACUGGGGCUAAUACCGGAUAGGAAUCCUUGCUGCAUGGUGGGGGUUGGAAAGCUUCGGCGGUUUUGGAUGGACUCGCGGCUUAUCAGCUUGUUGGUGGGGUAGUGGCUUACCAAGGCUUUGACGGGUAGCCGGCCUGAGAGGGCGACCGGCCACAUUGGGACUGAGAUACGGCCCAGACUCCUACGGGAGGCAGCGGUGGGGAAUAUUGCACAAUGGGCGGAAGCCUGAUGCAGCAACGCCGCGUGCGGGAUGACGGCCUUCGGGUUGUAAACCGCUUUCAGCAGGGGCGAAGCUUGUGGUGACGGUACCUGCAGAAGAAGCACCGGCUAACUACGUG
rnacentral:rRNA from 1 species